rnacentral:lncRNA from 1 species
GGUUUGGGCUGUUAUGAAUGCUCUUAAGAACAAUGGAGUCAAACUCAUCCUCGAUGAUGAAAACGAUGACAAAUUCUUGGCCUGAUUCAUGUUAAAAAUAUGGUGAGUCUUCUGCUAAUAACUUCUAUGCAAUCAAAAGAACAUGGAAGUAUUAUUUCUCAGAAGCAUUAUUGUCAGAAUCUAAAUGAAAAUCUUCAAUUUAGUUAUUGAAAAUGUUAGCAAUAAUCAAAAUUACAAGGAAGUAUUAUUCAAUAUUAUUUCUCAGAAGCAUUAUUGUCAGAAUCUAAAUGAAAAUCUUCAAUUUAGUUAUUGAAAAAUGUUAGCAAUAUACUUUUACCCAGAUACUCUUAUUGUUGGCAAAAAUUUAUUGAAAAUCACAAAAUUGUGUUGCUUGUUCUCACUUUAUUUACUGAGUUUUAUCCAAGAUUUUGUGAUAUUUUUUAUAGAUUUUAAACCAAAGUAAGAUUAUGUUACAAGAACUCUUCUUUACUUCGUUUUAAUUCAUUUGUGAUAGUAAAACAGAUUAACUUAUCAGUCAUACC